rnacentral:rRNA from 1 species
ACGUAGGGAGCAAGCGUUGUUCGGAUUUACUGGGCGUAAAGGGUGCGUAGGCGGCGUGUCAAGUCGAUUGUGAAAUCUCCGGGCUUAACUCGGAACGGCCAGUCGAUACUGACGUGUUAGAGUGCAGAAAGGGCAAUCGGAAUUCUUGGUGUAGCGGUGAAAUGCGUAGAUAUCGAGAGGAACACCUGCGGCGAAGGCGGGGUGCUGGGCUGACACUGACGCUGAUGCGCGAAAGCUAGGGGAGCGAACGGGA